rnacentral:tRNA from 1 species
GGUGUUGUAGCUCAGUUGGUAGAGCAUCGGACUGAAAAUCCGUGUGUCGGCGGUUCGAAUCCGCCCAACACCACAA